GGGUGCAUAGCUCAGUCGGUUAGAGCACGGCUCUUAUAAAGCCGGGGUCGAUGGUUCGAAUCCAUCUGCACCCA
rnacentral:tRNA from 1 species